rnacentral:tRNA from 1 species
UGGGGAUGUAGCUCAGGGGUAGAGGGCUUGCCUAGCAUGUGGGAGGUCCUGGGCUUGAUUCCCAGUACUAA